rnacentral:rRNA from 1 species
ACGGGAGGCAGCAGUGGGGAAUAUUGGGCAAUGGGCGAAAGCCUGACCCAGCAACGCCGCGUGAAGGAAGAAGGUCUUCGGAUUGUAAACUUCUUUUAUGAGGGACGAAGGACGUGACGGUACCUCAUGAAUAAGCCACGGCUAACUACGUGCCAGCAGCCGCGGUAAUACGUAGGUGGCAAGCGUUAUCCGGAUUUACUGGGUGUAAAGGGCGCGUAGGCGGGGAUGCAAGUCAGAUGUGAAAUCCAUGGGCUUAACUCAUGAACUGCAUUUGAAACUGUAUCUCUUGAGUGCUGGAGAGGUAGAUGGAAUUCCUUGUGUAGCGGUGAAAUGCGUAGAUAUAAGGAAGAACACCAGUGGCGAAGGCGGCUUGCUGGACGAUAACUGACGUUGAGGCUCGAAAGCGUGGGGAGCAAACAGGAUUAGAUACCCUGGUA